rnacentral:rRNA from 1 species
GAUGAACGCUGGCGGCGUGCUUAACACAUGCAAGUCGAACGGGAAGGCCGAAGCUUGCUUCGGUACUCGAGGUGCGAACGGGUGAGUAACACGUGGGUGAGCUGCCCUUUACUGCGGGAUAAGCUUAGGAAACUGGGUCUAAUACCGGAUAUGACUAUCUCUUGGAUGGUGUGGUGGAGAUCUUUUGAGUUGUUGGAUGAGCUCGCGGCCUAUCAGCUGGUUGGUGGGGGAAUGGCCUACCAAGGAGUCGACGGGUAGCCGGCCGGAGAGGGGGUAAGGCCACAAGGGGAAUGAGAGACGGCCCAGACUCCUAAGGGAGGCGGGAGGGGGGAGUAUUGAACAAUGGGCGAGAGGCUGAUGCCGGGACGAGGCGUGGGGGGUGAGGGACUUCGGGCUGUAAACUCCUUUGGCAAUUGACGAAGGAUGUUGGUGACGGUAGGUUGAGAAGAAGCACCGGCUAACUACGUG